rnacentral:rRNA from 1 species
GCGGUGGAGCAUGUGUUAAUUCGAAGCCAACGCGAAGAACCUUACCAGGUCUUGACAUCCCUGACAACCGAGAGAUCGGGCGUUCCCCUUCGGGGGACAGGGUGACAGGUGGUGCAUGGUUGUCGUCAGCUCGUGUCGUGAGAUGUUGGGUUAAGUCCCGCAACGAGCGCAACCCUCGACCUUAGUUGCCAGCAUUCAGUUGGGCACUCUAAGGUGACUGCCGGCUAAAAGUCGGAGGAAGGUGGGAUGACGUCAAAUCAUCAUGCCCCUUAUGACCUGGGCUACACACGUGCUACAAUGGGCGGUACAAAGGGAAGCCAACUCGCGAGAGCGCGCCAAUCUCAAAAAGCCAUCCUCAGUUCGGAUUGGAGUCUGCAACUCGACUCCAUGAAGUUGGAAUCGCUAGUAAUCGCGGAUCAGCAUGCCGCGGUCGAAUACGUUCCGGCCUU